GACGAACGCUGGCGGCGUGCUUAACACAUGCAAGUCGAGCGGUAAGGCCCUUUCGGGGGUACACGAGCGGCGAACGGGUGAGUAACACGUGGGUGACCUGCCCUUAGCUCUGGGAUAAGCCUGGGAAACUGGGUCUAAUACCGGAUAUGACCUCAUGACGCAUGUUGUGGGGUGGAAAGCCUUGUGCGGCUAGGGAUGGGCCCGCGGCCUAUCAGCUUGUUGGUGGGGUGAUGGCCUACCAAGGCGACGACGGGUAGCCGGCCUGAGAGGGCGACCGGCCACACUGGGACUGAGACACGGCCCAGACUCCUACGGGAGGCAGCAGUGGGGAAUCUUGCGCAAUGGGCGAAAGCCUGACGCAGCGACGCCGCGUGAGGGAUGACGGCCUGG
rnacentral:rRNA from 1 species